GUUGGUGGAGUGAUUUGUCUGGUUAAUUCCGUUAACGAACGAGACCUCGACCUGCUAAAUAGUUUGGCGAAUUCUCCGGGAUUCGUACAUAACUUCUUAGAGGGACUAUCGCUGUGUAGGCGGUGGAAGUUCGAGGCAAUAACAGGU
rnacentral:rRNA from 1 species